rnacentral:rRNA from 1 species
GAACGCUAGCUACAGGCGUUAACACAUGCAAGCGUGGGGCAGCAUAUAGAUAGCUUGCUAUUAUGAUGGCGACCGGCGCACGGUGAGUAACGCGUAUCAACCUUCCCCAUAGUAGGGUAUACGCCCGGCGAAAGUCGGAUUAAUCCCCUAUGUUGUUUGAAGCGGACGAUCUAAUUCAAACCAAAGAUUCAUCGCUAUGGGAUGGGGAUGCGUCUGAUUAGGUUGCAGGCGGGUAACGGCCCACCUGGCCGACGAUCAGUAGGGGUUCUGAGAGGAAGGUCCCCCACACUGGUACUGAGACACGGACCAGACUCCUACGGGAGGCAGCAGUGAGGAAUAUUGGUCAAUGGGCGCGAGCCUGAACCAGCCAAGUAGCGUGCCAGGAAGACGGCCCUACGGGUUGUAAACUGCUUUUUAUGCGGGGAUAAAGUGCGGCACGUGUGCCGUUUUGCAGGUACCGCAUGAAUAAGGACCGGCUAAUUCCGUGCCAGCAGCCGC